UCAGAUUUCGAAAACACGGAGCAAAAAGCCGGUCCCGAGAGCGGAGAAAAACAUCCUCCUGUAUGAGGACACGGCACACUGCAGGGGCCACAGAACUGUUGGCUGACAAGAUGCUUGUGAUUCAUAAAAUGGGUCAAAUGCAGAUGACAAAGUAAAGCCAACACUGAGCUGGAGGUGCUGACCCAGACUCCUGCCAACGAUUAGGUUUUCACUCUACAGGACAGAACUUUGAAUCAAUCAGACGCAACAACCAUUCUGCUCUUCCUCCUCCAGAAGACGAGAGACACAUCACACUGAGUGGUCCAAGUCCACUGUCCAUGUCUCCA